CAGCGUGCUCCGGGGUCGGUGAAAUUCCGAACCGGCGGUUACAGUCCGCGACCCGGUCGAAGCCAUCGACCGGUUGACCCGGUGAAAUUCCGGGACCGACGGUUAAAGUCCGGAUGGGAGGAAGCGCGCGA
rnacentral:ncRNA from 1 species